UGGGGAAUAUUGCACAAUGGGCGCAAGCCUGAUGCAGCGACGCCGCGUGAGGGAUGACGGCCUUCGGGUUGUAAACCUCUUUCAGCAGGGAAGAAGCCGCAAGGUGACGGUACCUGCAGAAGAAGCGCCGGCUAACUACGUGCCAGCAGCCGCGGUAAUACGUAGGGCGCAAGCGUUGUCCGGAAUUAUUGGGCGUAAAGAGCUCGUAGGCGGUUCGUCGCGUCUGCUGUGAAAUCCUCAGGCUCAACCUGGGGCGUGCAGUGGGUACGGGCGGACUAGAGUGCGGUAGGGGUGACUGGAAUUCCUGGUGUAGCGGUGGAAUGCGCAGAUAUCAGGAGGAACACCGAUGGCGAAGGCAGGUCACUGGGCCGCAACUGACGCUGAGGAGCGAAAGCAUGGGGAGCGAACA
rnacentral:rRNA from 1 species